rnacentral:rRNA from 1 species
UACGGGGGGGCAAGCGUUUGUUCGGAAUUACUGGGCGUAAAGGGCUCGUAGGCGGCCAACUAAGUCAGACGUGAAAUCCCUCGGCUUAACCGGGGAACUGCGUCUGAUACUGGAUGGCUAGAGGUUGGGAGAGGGAUGCGGAAUUCCAGGUGUAGCGGUGAAAUGCGUAGAUAUCUGGAGGAACACCGGUGGCGAAGGCGGCAUCCUGGACCGGUAUUGACGCUGAGGCGCGAAAGCCAGGGGAGCAAAGCGGG